UUGACAGCAAGGUGAGAACAUAAUUAUCUUCGCCAUUACCACUAUCCUAACCACACCACCCACCCUACUACAUCACACCACACCACACCAUUUGGCUGCUCAGUUAACUCAGUUUCGUCGCAGUUCUUUAAUCGUCCGCAUGCAAAAUAAAGCCCUCGUAAAAGUUUUAGUGGAAAAUUGAUCAAAACUAGAUAAAACUUUCUCAAAAAUUUAAUAAAUCAAUAGAAAAGUGUAGUGCAACUUAUGUAUUAAACGAUUUAUUUGGAUAUUCGUUAAAAAUCUAUUGGAAAUCUUAAGAAAACAAUCAGCAAUAAAUUAUAAUAUUGGUCUGCGGGUUUCGCGUUUUUGCUUCGCCGUAUGAGUGACUUGACUAAGCGAAGUUUUUCACCAAA
rnacentral:sRNA from 1 species